AAGCUGAUUCACCCUGGUGAAGAGAAAACAACAGUGUUGUGUGAGAGCUGCAAUUAGCAAAGAAAUGGAUUCCUAAUAACAUACCAGGCUGCUCCUGAAGACCUGCUGCUGUUCCAGGCACCUGCUCCUGGGUGAUGGACAGCGUGUGGCAGGAGCUGCUGUGUCACCAGGCAGGAGCUG